rnacentral:rRNA from 1 species
UGAGGAAUAUUGGUCAAUGGGCGCUAGCCUGAACCAGCCAAGUAGCGUGAAGGAUGAAGGCUCUAUGGGUCGUAAACUUCUUUUAUAUAAGAAUAAAGUGCAGUAUGUAUACUGUUUUGUAUGUAUUAUAUGAAUAAGGAUCGACUAACUCCGUGCCAGCAGCCGCGGUAAUACGGAGGAUGCGAGCGUUAUCCGGAUUUAUUGGGUUUAAAGGUGCGUAGGUGGUUUCUAAGUCAGCGGUGAAAGUUUGUGGCUUAACCAUAAAAUUGCCAUUGAUACUGGGAGACUUGAGUAUGUUUGAGGUAGGCGGAAUGCGUGGUGUAGCGGUGAAAUGCAUAGAUAUCACGCAGAACUCCGAUUGCGAAGGCAGCUUGCCAGGCCAUAACUGACACUGAAGCACGAAAGCGUGGGUAUCAAACAGGAUUAGAUACCCUGGUAGU